GAUGAACGCUGGCGGCGUGCUUAACACAUGCAAGUCGAACGGUGAAAGCGGAGCUUGCUCUGCUGGAUCAGUGGCGAACGGGUGAGUAACACGUGAGCAAUCUGCCCCUGACUCUGGGAUAAGCGCUGGAAACGGCGUCUAAUACCGGAUACGAGCUGCGAAGGCAUCUUCAGCAGCUGGAAAGAACUUCGGUCAGGGAUGAGCUCGCGGCCUAUCAGCUAGUUGGUGAGGUAACGGCUCACCAAGGCGUCGACGGGUAGCCGGCCUGAGAGGGUGACCGGCCACACUGGGACUGAGACACGGCCCAGACUCCAACGGGAGGCAGCAGUGGGGAAAAUUGCACAAUGGGCGCAAGCCUGAUGCAGCAACGCCGCGUGAGGGAUGAAGGCCUUCGGGUUGUAAACCUCUUUUAGCAGGGAAGAAGCGAAAGUGACGGUACCUGCAGAAAAAGCACCGGCUAACUACGUGCCAGCCGCCGCUGUAA
rnacentral:rRNA from 1 species